rnacentral:misc_RNA from 1 species
AAGUCGUAACAAGGUUUCCGUAGGUGAACCUGCGGAAGGAUCAUUAUCGUAGGGCUUCGGCCCUGUCGAGAUAGAACCCUUGCCUUUUUGAGUACCUUUCGUUUCCUCGGCAGCUUCGGCUGCCAAUGGGGACCCCAAAAAACACUUUGCAGUACCUGUAACAGUCUGAACAAACAAACAAAAAUUAAAACUUUCAACAACGGAUCUCUUGGUUCUG